AGCUUGCUCCCUGAUGUUAGCGGCGGACGGGUGAGUAACACGUGGGUAACCUGCCUGUAAGACUGGGAUAACUCCGGGAAACCGGGGCUAAUACCGGAUGSUGUUUGAACCGCAUGGUUCAGACAUAAAAGGUGGCUUCGGCUACCACUUACAGAUGGACCCGCGGCGCAUUAGCUAGUUGGUGAGGUAACGGCUCACCAAGGCGACGAUGCGUAGCCGACCUGAGAGGGUGAUCGGCCACACUGGGACUGAGACACGGCCCAGACUCCUACGGGAGGCAGCAGUAGGGAAUCUUCCGCAAUGGACGAAAGUCUGACGGAGCAACGCCGCGUGAGUGAUGAAGGUUUUCGGAUCGUAAAGCUCUGUUGUUAGGGAAGAACAAGUGCCGUUCAAAUAGGGCGGCACCUUGACGGUACCUAACCAGAAAGCCACGGCUAACUACGUGCCAGCAGCCGCGGUAAUACGUAGGUGGCAAGCGUUGUCCGGAAUUAUUGGGCGUAAAGGGCUCGCAGGCGGUUUCUUAAGUCUGAUGUGAAAGCCCCCGGCUCAACCGGGGAGGGUCAUUGGAAACUGGGGAACUUGAGUGCAGAAGAGGAGAGUGGAAUUCCACGUGUAGCGGUGAAAUGCGUAGAGAUGUGGAGGAACACCAGUGGCGAAGGCGACUCUCUGGUCUGUAACUGACGCUGAGGAGCGAAAGCGUGGGGAGCGAACAGGAUUAGAUACCCUGGUAGUCCACGCCGUAAACGAUGAGUGCUAAGUGUUA
rnacentral:rRNA from 2 species